CAAUAGCGUAUAUUAAAGCUGUUGCGGUUAAAAAGCUCGUAGUUGGAUUUCUGUCAAGGACAACUGGUCCGCCCUCCGGGUGAGCACAUAGUUUGGUCUUGGCAUCUUGCUGGAAACUGUUGCUGCGCUUGGUUGUGUGGUGCAGCUUUCAGCACUUUCACUUUGAGGAAAUUGAAGUGUUUCAAGCAGGCACAUGCCUUUGGACACAGUAGCAUGGAAUAAUUAGAUUGGGCUUUUGCUCCAACUUGUUGGUUCCUGGAGCUGAGGUGAGAAUCAAUGGGGAUUGUUGGGGGCAUCCGAAUUUAGCCGUCAGAGGUGAAAUUCUUGGAUCUGCUAAAGACGGACAACUGCGAANGNGUUUGCNCAGGAUGUUUNCAUUG
rnacentral:rRNA from 1 species